UAAGACGUAGGGCGCGAGCGUUGUCCGGAUUUAUUGGGCGUAAAGAGCUCGUAGGCGGCUUGUUGCGUCAGCUGUGAAAACCCGCAGCUCAACUGUGGGCUUGCAGCUGAUACGGGCAGGCUUGAGUUCGGUAGGGGAGACUGGAAUUCCUGGUGUAGCGGUGAAAUGCGCAGAUAUCAGGA
rnacentral:rRNA from 1 species